AUAAUUUUUGUUUUAGAAAUUUUUAUUAAAAAUAGGAUAAAUUUGUGCCAGCAUUCGCGGUUAGACAAAUAAGAUUUUAUUGAAUUAUUUAAAUUUAAAAAUUAUUAAUUAUAUUGAUUUAAGUUUUAUUAUAUAAAAAUUAAAUUAAGGUGAAAUUUUAUUAAUUUUGAUUAAUAAAUUUAAUUUUUAGUAUUAAUAAAUAUUUUGAAAAUUUGUAAAAAACUAGGAUUAGAUACCCUAUUAUUGUUAUUGUAAAAUUAUAUUAAUAUUAUAUAUAUAUAUAUAUAUAUAUAUAUAUGUAUAGUAUGUUAUUAUUAUAUUGUUUAAAAAAAAAUAUUAUAGUUAUUUUGGUUAGGUAGUAAUAGUUAUGUUCUUGAAACUUAAAGAAUUUGACGGUAAUUCAUUCAUAUUAGAGGAACUUGUUUUUUAAUUGAUAUUCCACGAUAAUAAAUACUUAAAUUUUAUAAUUAAAUUUGUAUAUCGUCGUUUAAAAAAGAUUUUAUUAGAAUUUUUUAAUUUUUUAAAUAUUAUUUUAUUAUUAAUUAAUAAAAUAAUAAUAAUUCAGAUCAAGGUGCAGUUUAUAUUUAAGUUAAAAUGAGUUACAAUAAAUUUAAUUUAUUAUGGAGUUAAAAUUUUAAUAUUUUAAUGAAGGCGGAUUUAAAAGUAAAUUUAAAUAAUUAUCUAAAUUGAAAAUUUGUUUUGAAUUAUGUACAUAUCGCCCGUCACUCUCAUUAUAAAGUGAGAUAAGUCGUAACAAAGUAAGGGUACUGGAAAGUGUUCUUAGAAUUAGUUUAUUUGGUU
rnacentral:rRNA from 1 species